rnacentral:misc_RNA from 1 species
AACGCCUAGUGUCCGUCGUCGAGGCCGCCCAUGUGCUUCUGCGAGUACAACUCAACGCCAAUCUUCUUGACGAGGUCGAUCUGGGUUUCGAGGAAGUCGAUAUGCCCUUCCUCGUCCUUCAUCAGGCUCUCGAACAGGUCGCGCGAGACGUAGUCCUUCGCGCUAUGGCAGUGGGUCGCGGCCUUCUCGUAAAGCUCGCGCGCCGAAUACUCGGCCUUGAGGUCGCAAUCCAGAAC